UCGAAUCUAUGUUUCUUGAUUGAAUCUGAUCUCAGGUUUAUGUGUUUUUUUAUGAAACUCUAGUUUAUGUUUGUGUCUGACGACGAGGAGACCUAUAUAUAUAUACAAAACAGAGAGAGACAGAGAGGGCGACUAAAGGCGCGUGGAGACUGAUGAUCAUGAUGUGUUUUUUCUUUUAUCUUUUCUUUCUUAUCUUUUUGAUCAUCAUGAUGUGUUUUUUCUUUUAUCUUUUUUUUGCUAAAAUGGAGACUGAUGUGUUAAAUUAUAGAGAAAUCCAAUAAUUUGUAAUUUCUCUUUUUGUUAUUAAUUUUUUUUUUUUUUUCUAGUCCUUACGGUACAACAAUUUGUAAAAUUAACUUUCGAUAUAUUAUUUUAACCACAGUGUAUGUGAUCAAACAUGAAACUUCAGUUUUU